rnacentral:rRNA from 1 species
UACGUAGGGUGCGAGCGUUGUCCGGAAUUAUUGGGCGUAAAGGGCUCGUAGGCGGUUUGUCGCGUCGGGAGUGAAAACACCGGGCUUAACUCGGUGCUUGCUUUCGAUACGGGCAGACUAGAGGCAUGCAGGGGAGAACGGAAUUCCUGGUGUAGCGGUGAAAUGCGCAGAUAUCAGGAGGAACACCGGUGGCGAAGGCGGGUCUCUGGGCCGAUACUGACGCUGAGGAGCGAAAGCGUGGGGAGCGAACAGGG